GCGGGGAGCGGAGCGAUGGCGGCGGCGUCUGAAAUGGACAGGAGAGAGAAAACAGAAUGAAGGCUUCAUGGCUUGAGACAAGGACUGGGACAGAUCACUCAGCACAUGCCAUCAUGGGAAAAACAGGCAGGGGGCUGUCCCAGCAGGCAGAGUGAGCAGUGCUGAAGAAGCCCUGACGGUUGGACCGGCGCUGACUCAGCUCCAGCAGAGCAGGCGAUGAGCUCCGAAUUCCUGGGCGCUCCAACAGAUGAUAGAAUUCCCAGGCCCGGACCCUCCGUUAACACUGGACUCCAUGCAGCUAGCAGUCGCCUGACCAUCCUCUCCAAUGCCAAGAGCAGGAGGAGGGCACCCUCAGCUCAUGGAGCCACUGAGCCUUUCCUUCCCCCAAACUUUAAGUGAUCUUCCCCCACCCUCGACACUUCUUUUUGUGUGGGGCAAGCACCCUUUAAGCAU